ensembl:lncRNA
UAUUUCUUUCCUUUUAAUGGCUGAGUAGUAUUCCAUUGUGUAUAUGUACCAUAUCUUCUUUAUCCACUCUUCAGUGAUGGACAUUUAGAUUGCUCCCAUGUCUUGCCUGUUGUAGAUAGUGCUGCAAUGAACCUUGGAGUAUAUGUAUUUUUUUAAGUCAUGGUAUUCUCUAGGAUAGAUGCCCAGGAGUGGAAUUGCUGGAUCAAAUGGUAAUUCUAUGUUUAGUUUUCUGAGGAAUCUCCAUACUGUUUUCCACAGUGGUGCAGGACCAUUGGACAAGAUUUUAUACAUAUUUUGUGUUGGAAUUUAAAUUCUAAUAACCUUUAGAAGCAUUAGUAGUAGGAUUUACUUAGCUGGUUGAAUCCUAAGCUUGCUAGUGGGUUGGGGUUGCAUACAUGCGUCAUAUUUCUUUUUUUCUUUUCUUUUCUUUUCUUUUUUUUUUUUUGGUCUUUUUGCCUUUUCUAGGGCCGCUCCCGUGGCAUAUGGAGAUUCCCAGGCUAGGGGUCUAAUCAGUGCUGUAGCCGCCGGCCACGGCCACACCAACUCGGGAUCCGAGCCGUGUCUGCGAUCUACACCACAGUUCAUGGCAAUGCCGGAUCCUUAACCCACUGAGCAAGGCCAGGGAUCGAACCCACAACCUCAUGGUUCCUAGUCAGAUUCGUUAACCACUGAGCCAUGACUCCACACGGGUCAUAUUUCUGACCAAUUCUGAUGGUACUAAUUAUGUCAGGAGUUUACAGACAAGGCUAAAUUAAUUGUGAGCCUGCGACCUUUGCCCACUUAGUACUGUUUUGCUAAGAUUAUCUGAGGUAAUACUUAUUUAAUACCACAGAGAUAAGAACCUGCUGUGGGUGCCUUACUUCCGGUGUAUGCUGACUUCUUAUGUAGGAUACUGUGUCUGAAUAACCUGAGCCAUGGUCCUAAUAACUCUGGUCUCUGUUUGGGCCCAGACUCCAAGUUGUUGGUCAGUAAGCUAGAAGGUCUUUUGUGCUACCUAGACAGAUCUUUUCAUCUGGAAGGACUUUUGUGGUACCUCUGAGCCUGAAAGAGUAAGGUACAAGGAUUUUGAGGCACAUUUGCAUAUUUGGUUUUGUUGUACCCUUGUGAGUAGAAUUUAAUUCAUUUUUUAGAAUUGAUGGUUAAUCUGUCAGUUGACAGGUAAAUUUCAUCAAACCCUAGAAUGAGAGAUGGAAAUGUCCUUUUCCUUCUGGUGUUCACGGUGGCAUUUGUUGGCCUGAGCUCAGCAGAUUUUCAGCACUUAAGCCUGGUGUCUUCAAACCUUGACUUAGUGGCUGGGCUCAGUUUUCCAAUCACUAGUGGAAACUUAAUGACAGUAAUUUUUUUUUUGUCCUUUUAGGGCCACACCUAGGGCUGCUCCCGAGGUAUAUGGAGGUUCCCAGGCUAGGGGCCGAACUGGAGCUGUAGCUGCUGGCCUAUACCACAGCCACAGCAACGGGAGCUGCAUCUUCGACCUACACCACAGCUCAUGGCAACAAGAGAUGCUUAACCCACUGAGUGAGGCCAGGGAUCGAACCCAUGUCCUCAUGGAUACUAGUCAGGUUCGUUAACCACUGAGUCAUGACAGGAACUCCAGACAGUAAGUUUUGAAUGCUUAUAUUUUAUUGGAGCCUGGAAUUGUUGAAACUAGGUGUUUGUCCAUCAGUGCCGAAUAGAAUCUCAGAGACAGUUUUGGGUGCGGGAGGAAAAAAAAUAGCAUUACUGCUUGCUAGGCAAAGGAGGCCAUAGCAGGCUAAUGCCCUAAAGACUGUGCCCUCCCUUGGGAGAGAUUAGGAAGUUGCUUUAUAGUUUGGGAGUAGAAAACAGGGCCACAGAUAAGGAUCAGAAUAGGUACAAGCUUUCAUUCUUCUUCAAAGUUGGUGUUUAGUGGCCCCAGGCCUGGUUCGGUGGUCCUCCUCUCUUGUUUUCAUUUGUGGCAGGUUUUAGUUCUGCAGAAGAACUCAAAGAUACUUUUAUGUAUAUUCCUUGAGGAGGAACCAGGAUCCCGCCCCAAGGCUGCACUGUUGCCUCUGCAUCCCCUCCCUUCUCUGAUGAGCAACUGUUUGAACCUACUCUUUGGAGUGCAGGGAAGGUGGUGGAGGCUGAAGCUUAUUCCCUAAGAGUAAGAAAUAGGGAACGCAGAGGGCUUGUGCCCAGGAGCCCCACAGGGUCCUGUCAGUUUCAAUAUUAUUCCCUCUAAAGGGUGGUUCCACUUUUGAUUCUUGAACAUAUCAACUAGCUCUUCUCUUCAGAAAGGAUAUUUUUCUGUUCAGUUUUUAUAUAUGGAUACAAUAUAAAUAUAGUUGCAGAUGCUAUGUAUAGUUAGGUUCUUGUGAAACUGCAUUUCAACUACAGAUCCACAGAAGAGUAAAUAUAGUUAGGCUGCUUUUCUAGUGUAUUUUAAUUUGAAAUUCACUUAUGAGUAAAAUUAAACUUUUCUUGAACGUUAUUUACUUUUUUGUUGUCGCCUCAACAUUAUUUAAUAUUAGCAUAUUGACUGCAGUGAGCUCUGAAAUAAUUCUCAUGCCUUAAGUGUAACUAUUAAAAUAACUCCGUUCCCUAGCUGGGCAUGGUGGGUUAACAAUCUGGCCUUGCUGCAGCUUUGGCUUAGGUUGCAACUGUGGCUUGGAUCUGUUUCCUGGCCCGGGAACUGCACAUGCCAAGG